rnacentral:rRNA from 1 species
UAGGCCUAACACAUGCAAGUCGGACGAGUGGCGGACGGGUGAGGAAUGCAUCGGAAUCUACUCUUUCGUGGGGGAUAACGUAGGGAAACUUACGCUAAUACCGCAUACGAAUGAAUGAGCCGAUGCCCGAUUAGCUAGUUGGCGGGGUAAGAGCCCACCAAGGCGACGAUCGGUAGCUGGUCUGGGAGGAUGAUCAGCCACACUGGAACUGAGACACGGUCCAGACUCCUACGGGAGGCAGCAGUGGGGAAUAUUGGACAAUGGGCGCAAGCCUGAUCCAGCCAUACCGCGUGGGUGAAGAAGGCCUUCGGGUUGUAAAGCCCUUUUGUUGGGAAAGCGGUACCCAAAGAAUAAGCACCGGCUAACUUCGUGCCAGCAGCCGCGGUAAUACGAAGGGUGCAAGCGUUACUCGGAAUUACUGGGCGUAAAGCGUGCGUAGGUGGUUGUUUAAGUCUGUCGUGAAAGCCCUGGGCUCAACCUGGGAAUUGCGAUGGAAACUGGGCGACUAGAGUGUGGCAGAGGAUAGUGGAAUUCCUGGUGUAGCAGUGAAAUGCGUAGAGAUC